CAGCGCCCGGCCGCUCCCGCCCGCGCGCUCCCUCCUGCCAAACUGUUACCCUGAGUGUUACCGUCAGGAGCAAUGACAUCAGGGUUUUAAAACAACUUGUUAUUCGGGGAGUAAUCAGUUGCAAUUAGGCAUUAAUUAAGUAUUAUGAAAGUUGAUUAUUUAAGUGAAUUCGGCUUUCGACUCUCCGACUAUGGUGAGUACCGGGAGCGGGCCGGGGGAGGGCCGGGCCGGGCGCUCGGCGGCGACCCCCGCGGGGCGGCGGGCCUGGUCGGGGCGCAGUGGGCGCCCCUGGGCCUCGCGGGCCUCCCCCGCCAGGCCGCGUCCGCCGGCGGCUCCGCUCGAGUUGGUGAACUCGGAGCUGCCGGGCGCGCGCGGCCGGAGCGUGAGAGCGAGCGGGACGGGCUCGGAGGAAAGUUUGGCCGCUCGGCCCGCGGGCCCGGCCCGCGCCCCCGGCCCGGGAUGCGCCGCGCCAGCCGGGAGGGAGCGCGGCGGGCGGGCGGGGGCCGCGCAGGCACUAACCGAGUCUUCUCUCUCCCCUCUGCUGCCCGCGACGUUCCUCGCAGAGUUUGGGACCAAGGAGCGGAGAAUGGAUCUUGGAACAGGUACCGGCCGGUGGGAGCCCACGGGAGGCUCUUUCGCUUUUCUUUCGGUUCUUUUACGGAAGUUAUUAUUUUUAGCCCAAUCAGCUAGCAGCUGGGCCCGGGUGCGGGCCGGCGCCGAGGGUCCGGGCCGCCGCCCCUGCGCCCUGCUUUCUGGAGGGCCAUAGUGUUGUCAUUAUUUGUUACUUGCCUAGUGACUGUGACUAAUUUGAUGCUUGUCAUUAUGAAAGAACCGAGAGGACGGGGAGCUGGGGGGCACCCAGAAAGAGGAUUUAGGGGUUUUUUGUGGGGGUUUUUGAUCUCCGUGUUUUUUUUUCCCCUUUCUUUUUGGUAUGCCUCCGUAUUUUUGUUUUGUUUUGUUUUGUUUUCCUGUGUGUGUUAAAAGUAGUUUACUCCCCUCCGCAAAGAUCUCUGUGUGUCUGGCAAUGGGGUGUGUGUUUUUAUUUUUUUAGUGGGGGGUGGUUGAGUUUUUGAAAGCAGCGUCCUGUUGGGAAAGGUGGUUAGUCUGGUUUCGGGGCGACUGUCUCAAGGUAAAGGAAUUUAAUUUAUUUGGGACAAGGCUGUGUCGGAUGAUCAAGCUGCUUAUUAUGGCUAAUGAGUGUUUUUCACCUGAGAAUCUGUGGGCUGAGGCGGCUGUUAUCAGUUCAAAGUGAGGGGCCCAGGACUCUCCCAGCCCCCUUUUAGCUGGCACCCUGAAGUGGGUGAUGACCAAGCACCAGACUUAGGCCCCUGGGUCUGGAACUUGGGUUUGGCUCCAGGUAGUGAACCACUGACCUAGGCAGAGUUUGUCUUGAGAAUUCAGUGUCUUAGUGGUUGUGAUCUAAUAGUUCUUGUCCCUUGUGGGAUUCCUACCUGAGUGGGUGAGGGCUGCCCUAAUCCCCUCAGGCUUCCUUCGGACCUUCACAUCCUAGGGGGUCAAAUGCAACUCUCUUCCUCCAAAGUGUCUUAAAAGAAACAAACAGGCUGAUAACCCACUGAGCCUUUCUGUUUCAUUUAUGGAAGGAAAGGUGGUAUCAGAGUUAGUGUCAGACUUUUUGUUUGUGAUAGGCCCAAGUCCAUGACAUGGUCACUUGGCACCCAAGAGCUGACAUUCAAACGAACUCUGAGGUCAACUGGAAUAGAUAGCACUGGUGGAAGGGAUCAGGGCAGGUGACAUGGUGGUGGGCUUUGGAGCUGUGUGAGGUGGGUGGAGGGCCCUUCACAGAAUAUCUAGACUGUGUCCCAACAGGUGUGAUCUUGGCUAAUGGGCUGUGGAGGUCCUCAGGACUUCUGUGCCCAGGAAGGGUGUGAUGCCCCCUGCUGGGAAAAAUUGUGAAGGUGUCUGAGGCCAGCUGCCACCCUGCCCCUCCCUGCCUUCCACGCCCACAGAGAACCUGCUCACUCCUACCUCUAAUCAGGUGUCUCAUCACCUCCCUCUCAGGCCCCACCCCCUUCUUCGCAAAUGGGACCCCCAGCCAUCCAAGCCAAAGGGGCAGACUUCAGAGUUGGGCCAGGUGUUUCUGCAGUGGCCCCUACCUGGCCCAGGUGAGCCUCUGCAGUGGGUGGGCAUUACUCAAUUGGGAGACAGGUUCUCCUGUCUUCCUCCUUCUAACUUGGGUGCCAAGUGGAGCUGGCGCUAGUCCUCCUACCAUGCCAGUCCCACCAAGGCUGCUGUGGGGGCACCACUCCACAGAACUUAUGUGGGUGUCCUGAUGGCCUGGCAGGAGACAAGUGACAGAGCCUCCUGGGGCACCUCCCAGAGCCCUGGGGAGACUUACUUCUCCCAGCAAUCCAGGGACAGGCUCUGGAAACUUUUCCUAGAAGCCAGAGUGCCCUGGAGGUCAGCUAGAGCAGGGCACUCCCAAUGGGACCCAGGCUGGACUCUGGCCAUGCAGAGUCCAGGGUGUCAAAGUUCUGGCUGUUUCCUGGAGGAGUCAUCUGACGAUAUCAUCUCAGCCUCUUCUCUGAACUUGGAAGUUUCACUUAAUCUCAGAACUUCAGAAGAAAAAUACUUUUUCCUCACUUCACAAAAAAAGGGGAAGCAGAUAAGGACUUUGAGGUCUGUCCCUUCUGAGUCUAUAUCUGGGCCAACUCCGUGCUUCCAGACCUGAGAGCAUCCCCCUUGACCUUUGACCUCUGGGACUCACAGGGGACACUGCCUCAUCUCUGGCCAAGGCUCAUUGCUGGUGCAGUGCAGGGCUCUCUUCCUCUGAGGGCAGCAUGGACAGCUUCAGCGGAGGGCCUCCUGGCACACACAGUACAAGGCUGGAGACACGGGCCCCAAGAGUUGCCAGCACAAGCAUUGGUUCAUGGGUUAACAUCCCCUGUGGCCCAGGACACAUCCAGCCUGAAGCACUCUGACCAUAAGUAAUUCAGUGACAGGAGAAUCCAGGCUUCUCAGGAAGGGACAGCAGGACCUCAAGACCUUCAGGGGCCAUGUGGACCCCGUUCCCCCCACCAUGGUUCAGCCAAGGGCUGGAUCAAUCUGGACGUCUUUAGCAAUAAAAAAUGCCGAUGUCGUCCUAAUUCACCAGGCCCCGAGAUGACAGCAAAUUUACAUUUUUUAAUUAAACUAGCAGCCAGUUUUUAUGAGAGGGGGUUGGGUUAUGCAAAUCAAAUGGUUGUGUACGGAAGAUUAGGAGAGUUUGGGAAUAAAUUCCACAAAUGCUAAUAAAAAAAAAAAGGAAAGAGAGGGAGGGGGAGGAGAGAGAGGAAGAGAGGAGGACAUAGUUCCAUUAGGCCCUUUUAGAGUGAUUUCCCAGGGGGAGGGAGCUGGGUGGGGGAGGGGCAAGGAGGAAGCUUUCAGAUACAGGUAAACCAUUCUGCUUGGGAAGCUCCCUGGGAUUGGGCCCCCACCAGGCUGAAUCCUGGGUCUGAACACAACUGGAAGCCAGGGUGAAAGCCGCUGUGAAAGAACCACUUUGAACUUGCCCUUGAUUAUCUGAGUUAUGAGUAUAACCCCUCUCUCUCCUGAAAGUAGCUGAGGAAGGAGAGGGGCUGUCCAGUAGAGAAUCCAGAGUUGACUCUGCUGGGUAAAGGGCCCAGUAGGCAAGAGGGCAAGUUCAAAGGUAUGGCCAUGGAGCACAGGGGGAGCUAGUGAGGGGUAGCACUACCCACAAGGGGACUGUGGCUAAAACCCUAUGUUGGAGGAAGUAGUGUCACUCUCUGAGGCAGGCCCAUUUCUCCGCUGCUAGGGCUCCAGGCUGGUACCCCUUUGCUGUAUAGACAGACCCUCCUGUUGCAUAUUUGCCCAGCCUUCCACUGUGGGGAGGCCAGGAAGGGUGGGGUCAAGAGAGCCCAGACAGGUGCCUUCGUUAGCCUGGUUCUUGAAGUGGAAUUUCCUAGUAGCUACAGGCUCUGAAGACACCCAGGCUGCAGGCAGGACAAGGAAGAUUGUAGACCACCCUCCCAUGUGGUAUCUGAACCCAGGGAGCAAGGAGCUUGGCUUUACCAGCUCAGCCCAGCUACUACUGUGCCAGCCCACCUCUUGAUUCACAGAACUUUUGGACCUCUCCAAGAGUGGAAGUUUCUAGGAACCUUGCUAGCUCUGGUUACACUCUCAACCCAGCACACACCAGGGAUUGGGAAGGGUCUUGUGCUCUUUCUGUAGGAGGGAUUUCAUGCUAGCUUUGCUAGGUAGGGCAGAUUGCUCUCCAUUUUCCUUCCUCCCAUCCAUACUUGUACUUGGCCAGAUAUACCCACUCAACCAGUCUAAGCUGGGGCCAGCCCCUGCAGUCAGGUUGGGCACCGGUUUUGCCAGUCUGCUGCAGGGGGUAGGAGCUCUGGUGCCAUCUUGGCAGGAAGGAGCAUCAGAGCCAAGGACAGAAUGGGCUGUCUUGGAGUAGUAAGUUUCCUGGUACCAUUCAGACAACCUGGCUUUGCACCAGGGAGUGACGCUGGGCCUGACUUGAGCAUCAGAUGACCUUUAAGGUCUUUGGCUCUCCAACUCCCAACUUGAUUUUGUUCAGUGGGGCAGACCUGGGGAAGAGUCAUACGGACAAGGUGAGAAGCCCGUCAUUUGGACCUUCUCUAUGGCAGAAAGCAUUUGAGACAUGCAGCUCUGGGAUAGAUGGCCUUGAGCCAACCUGGACACUAGUCAUAAGACAGCAGAAUUAAGGGUAACAGGCCCAGUAUAGCUAUUCUUCUCAGAAGGCAGAGAGGGCAGGUCUAGGAAGGUCCAUAGGGGGACCCCACCCCAGGCUUUUGCUCCCUGCUAGGGACAAGCCAGGGGAACCCAGUAACUCCUCUCUAAGAAAGGCAAGGGGCCAGCUUCAGACAGUCCUCCUGCCCUCCUUGCCUUCCUGGGCUCUGCCAUGUGCCCCACCCCCACAGCCAGAGAAUCUGGCUGAGUUGCAACUUGGGUUUUUAUGAUGGAAAAAUAAAAUAAACGAAGGCACCUUUGGAGGGCUGAGUCACAGCAGCAGCAUCUCCUCAUUAAAGCUGCUGCCGUGGCUCAAGUCCCUGCCCACUGCCCAGGGCAGGGGAUUGGGUGGAGUUCAGAAGGCUUCUGGACCCUACUGCUUUUCUUCCUGGAGCCUGCCAGGUUAGUAGUGUGUCCCCACUGCUCCAUGAGCCUUGUGGGGCCACCAGCCCCAGGGCCUAGGUUUGUCUAACUCUGCCCUCCCAAUGCUGGUUUUUACACCUUGACCACCUGGUAGCUGCCACACAGCUCUUCCUCCUCCUCCUCCUGGUUUGCACCUUCAGAGAGGGAAGAAAGUUGCUCUGAAGUAAUUCCUCUCUGUGGGUCCCCAAGGCCAGGAGCAAUGCUUCUUGGGUGGGGGGGGGGCCGGGCCAGGGUCAGCAGAGUAGGAAGGGGGUGGGGAGGAGGAAGGCUGGCAGACACAGCCCUGGCAUGCAGAAGAGAGUGUCCCUCCCUGGGAGGGGUUAGCAAAGGUGGCAACCUUGUGGUCCAGCACACACCCAUUUGGCUGCCUGAUCAUAGACGGGCACCUCACCCCUGGGGCUCCCAGGAUACAUGUUCUCCAUUGAGGACGAACCCCUAGGCAGGUGUGAGGCCACAACUGAGUAAGCUCUUGGGGGCAGUGUGGGCUGGCUGAAGAGAUUUGUGACCCUGUCACAGGAACCAGGGACCCAAGAGCUAUGUGAAGGAGUGGCCUUGUGGGCCUCUGCACUACCCACAUCUGGAUGUCUUCCCAGCCUUUUCUCUGCCUUGUCCUUACCCCUCUGUGAGCAGCCCCUGCUUCCCCAUUGUUCAGCCCAGGGUUUCUGCCUUCCAGUCAGCCCUUCCUCCUCACCUUUCCUGCCCAGUGCCUUGCUAGCCUCACACCCAGUUGAUCCUGGAAAGAGAUAAAAGGGGUCUGGGGGCUCUGAGGAUCUGGUUAUUGGUAUGCCAUUCAUGUGCUGUGGUUCCCGGGAAGUCAAAGCCAAGGACCUUGUUUUCUUUUGUGAUUGCUGCCCCUAAGAGUGACCAUUAGAUGUGACCAUUAGCCACUGUGUUGACAUCUCCUCCCAGUGCUUGGUACCAGGCUGGGUCUCAUGCCUUCCCGCUGUAAGUGCUAGUGCGAUUGAUUGAUGGAUGUGCCUCUUCCCUGAGUGCCUGCCCAGCUUCUGAGUGGGGGCAGAAGGAGGAAGGCAGGAAAUGUUGGCUGAUUCCCUUGGGAGCUGGGUUUUAGCUCCUCAAGAGCUUUCUAGAGCUUGGUUUACAGGAAGAAAUAGGGCUGGGAUCAAGGAUGAUGUGAAGGGCCAAGGGGGCCUAAGGGCAGAGACAGGAGUUGUAGGGUUGGAUGGGCGCCCACAGCCGCUCUUGGCCAGGACUGUGGUGUGCAGCAGGGAGGGCCUGGGGCAGGAGGUCAGACUGCCACGCCAGGGUAUAGGAGUCUAGUAGCCAGUGGCGUCUGCACUUCUCUACCUUCUCCCUGGCCCCAUCUCUACCUUCCCCACCAUGCAACCCUCACUGGAGCAUGUCUGUCUGUCCUCUCUAGGCCAGGACCUGCCCCGACCCAAGCUGACAGACCCAAUACAGGCAGUAAGGCCCAAAAGGGGGCCAUGGGCUUAUGCUUAGCCCAUACUGCCACACGUCCACCCCAUAGUCUCGGGUUUGGGUUGCUCCUGAGCUAAAUGUGGGAUCUGCUCUUAGAAUAUCCAACGGGCCUAUCCUUUAGGGUCUCUUCCUUAUCUUCAGGCCUCAUAGGCUUUACCAGUGCCAUAGGUGCUUGGCAACUGAAACUGCUUCCUACUCUUGUUGCCAAAGCCAGGGUUCUACAGAUUGGGCACAUUCAGAUACAUCCUGUGGCUCUAAAGUCCAGGGAUUCCCAGAGGGAACCUUCUCAAGGUGCACUUUUCUAUUAGGCUUUGUCCUUGAGUUAAGGGGGCCCCUGGGAGAGAAUAUGCUGCAUGAGAGCAGGAGACUGAAGGAACCAGGCAGAGCCCCAGGUGGGGAUCCCCAAUGCAGUGGGGAGGCAGGAGCAUCCCAGCCACAGCAGGGAGAGACUGCUGGAAGUUUGUGUUACAGGGAAGUAUGUCCUCUCUGUGACCUCCAUAUUCACCUCCCUUUGACCAGUGCCUCUCUCUGUGCUGCCCCUGCAGCCCCAGAGCGCAAGGCUACGGCAAGCCAGGGGGUCCUGGUCAGCCAAAGAGGACUAAGGAGGUGCUCCACUGCCCAGCAGGGGGCGCCCCCUGUAUCUGCCCCAGGCCCUGCAAGGACACACUGUGUGGUUCCACCUGGCCUGGGCCUUCUGGCCCUUGGUGGGGGCAGGGAAGCCUACCUUCCCUACCCCCAGAGGUUCCUUGGCUGAGUUUGUUUGGCCAGGGUGACCUGUUUAAUCAUCUCAUUUUCUGGUGGCCGUUUAUUCCUCGUUUCCACGGUUACGGCCCCAUUAAGGGGAGAAGCAAUAAGGCAGCGAGUCAAACAGGUAAUAAAAACAUUAAAGCCCAUGUGCACAGAGGGAGGAUGGGGCGGGGAAGGGGGCGCAGCGAGGUGAGACGGCCCAGGGCACCGCUGCUGAGGUGAGGCCCAGCCUGGUCCCCAAGGCUGUAGGAAGACUGCUCCCAAGUCCCAGUAUUCAGCUUAGAACGUCCCCAGCCCUUGUCCCCUGGGCAACAGGCUCUACUUGAAGGUGAAAUAGGAAAGAGCAAAGAGAGGGAGAGUGACAAAAUCUCCCUGAGGACUGUCCCCAGCUGGUUGUGUGACCUGUUUCCAGGCCCCACCUUACCCUCACUGGGUGGGGUUGGGGGUGAUUUCUGACAUUGUUUGGAGCUCUAGAAUUUUUUUUUCUGCCAACUUUAUCAGAAAGCAUAUUUGUGGUGAGUGCUGCUAACAGGGCCAGUCUGGUGAGUAAAUAUUCCUUGUGUGGACGGCCCAGUGACCUUGAGAGCUGACGAGCAUGGUAGCAGGGCCAAGGGCGUGCAGGGAAAGGAUGGCCAGGUGGGGUCUAUCCCAAACAUAAGUGACACACAAUGACUUGCCUGUUGCAGAUGGGCCAGGAGCCCUUGGUGGUGCCCACAAAGGAAUUGCUGGCCAGUGCUUCUAGGGAGUCCCUUCCUCUCGUUAGUGGAAGCCGGCAUGUUACAAUGGUCAGCCUCCUGGUCAGUCCCACUGGGCACAGGGCAUGUGCCUCCCCUUAGUAUCCCCUUCUUGUGCUUCCUGGGUGUCCCAGCCCUCUGCCCUUCCCUCAAGGCUGGCCAGUAAGCAGAGCCAGUGCUGACCGAGGGGGUGUGCCAGGAAGAGUGGGGUGGGUAGGAGUGGCAGUGCCUGUGAGUACUGCCCAGGAGCAGAGGAGCAUUGCUCAGAGAGUAGAGAGGAACAAGCCUAUACUCUUAGCACCUCUGGAGGCUGAGGUAGGAGGAUUGCAGGUUCAAUGCCAGCUUCAGCAACUUAUCAAGGCCCCAAGCAACUCAAUGAGACCCUUUCUCUAAAUAGAAAAUAAAAAUAAAAAUGGCUGGGGAGUAGAGCACCCUUGAGUUAAAUCCUCAGCAUCCCCCCAUACCAAAAAAAAAAAGAGAGAGCAUGGAGAGCUGAGACCAGCUCUGGGGCCUGAAAGUGGAGGAAGGAGCCUCCUUCCUUCCUUUCUUCCAUGCUGUGAUCCCUUGCAGAUGUACAGAGGCCUGUAUCUCCAUUUAUUAAUUUCAAAGUUGAUUCUGACUCAGGAGGAGAAAGAGAAGGUAUGGGAAAUGGGGAAACCCUUUGGCUGGGGACUGUGCCUUGGGAACAGGCCUAGAUGAGUUAAUAUUCUGAUCAAACAAUUAAAAAUAGAAAACGCUCCCGAGGCACCAGCUGCUGAGGCUCUCGGCAACUGUCACCAGCGGGUUCAGGGGCAGGUGGUGCUGGAAGGAGCUUCUCUCCACAAACAGCAAAUUUCAGAGGUCACUGAGUGCCCACUGCCCUCCCAGUACUAGGGAAGGGUCUGGGGCUCCCAGUCCUCCAUGGUUCCCUCAGGGGCCUCAGUGGGGCCUGUGCAGCUUCAGGGCCGCCCUUCUCCCCUGCAGGGCUGGCCACACGGUGAAGUCAUCGCCAGAUGCCUUGGUAAUUGCUUUAAGAGUCCAACUUAAAAUAAGAUGAAAACUUAUAUUCCUGGGUGAGGAGUAAUUUCCCAUCUAAUAGUAAAUUAAUGAAGGGAUUAUAGCAGGGGGCCUGGCUGGGAGGCCACGCUCAUCUGAUAAAUCCAGGGUCUCCAGGCCUACCGGCUUUGGAGCUUGAGACUCUCACCCCUAGACCUGGCCCUGCUCCUGGGUUCUUCUUGGGCUAAACCAUGGCCUGCUCAGGUGGGAGGACACAUUCCAUGUGUGCUCCUGGUCCCUCUUAAUGGGAACCAGCUUUUAAAAUCCCCAUGGUAACUGUGGGUGGUGGGGCACACCUGUAAUCCUAGCAACUCAGGAGGCUGAGACAGGAGGGAUCACAAGUCCAAGGCCAGCCUCAGUAAUUCAGUGAGACCCUGUUUCAAAAUUUAAAAAAGGACUGGGAACAUUGCUCAGUGGUAAAGUGCCCUUGGGUUCAAUUCCCAGUACAAAAUAAUAAUAAUAACAACAACAACAAUAAAAAACAAAACCUCCCAUGGGAGAGGCUCAGAUUGGACCCUCUGUGGACAUGGGAAUGUUCCCAUCAUCAGUUCCCCUGAGGAUGGACCUUAGAAACAGAUCCUACUCAGACUCUGGUGAGAGUCUCCACUUGUCAGAACUGUGUAGUGUCAGUGUGGUGACCAGUCAUACCAUUUUGCCCAGGAUUAGAAGGACCCACAUCCUGUUAAUCUCCUCUGUCCCAGGCAAGCUGGGAAGGUUGAUCAAUCUGGUUUGGAGGGUGGAAGGUGGGCUGCUUAACAUAGUCCCUCCCUCAGGGUCCUGGAGAGACCAGGGACCUCCAGAACUAAAUAUAUUCUGUCCAGGAAGGAUGAUUUACAGCUGGCUCCUGAGACCACCGUGCCCUAACCAGGGCUCACUCCCUCUACAGGUUGUUCACUAGGGGCUUGUGCCCUGUGUGAGCUUGUGCAUGCCUCCUGAAGACCAGUGGGCCUAGAGUAGGGCUUGCAGCUGUGGUCCUUCCAUGGAGCACAGUCAGAGCGGGGCUUCUGAAGAGGAGUGCACCCCACAGCCCUCCUGCCAGCCUCCCAGAACCUUUUUUUCUGGGAGAUUGAGCUUGUGCCACACCUAAUGCUCCACUUCUCCUCACUCUCAGAGAAAGACAGGAAUUGUCCUGUUCCCAACUGGGGAGGGCAAGGAUGGGAUUCAGUGGUAGAGCUCAUGACUGGCACCAGGAGGGAGAGAGGAUGGACAGAGGAAAGGAAGACACAGGUGAGAAGUGGGAAGCCUGGAGACUGCUGGAUUUGUUCCCAAAUGCCAGGAGAUAGGCACGGUGUAGGGCUUCCCUCCCUGGGGAAAGACGGGCUUCCGGGAGGACCACACCACAUAGCAUGUUGAGUGGGGACACAGGGCUUCCAACCCUGGAUAUUUACUGUGCCACCUGCCUACAUUCUGGAUGUCCCUGGGCUCCACCAUAGUCUACCUGCCAUCCAUGGACACCUCCCUGGCCUUCCCCACGAUGUGGUAGUUGAUGCAGGUAUGCCGGGAGCUUUCAGCAGCAGAGCUCACUUUCCUGAAUCCUCCAUCCUGCUCAUCUCCUUAAAAAGGGGUGUCCCUGUCUGUAGGGGGUGGGGGAGGACACAUGGACAGCUCUUGGCUGAGGUGGAAGUGAGCAGGCUAGAUACAGGGCUCUUCAGAAGCAGUCUAAACCCAUAGUGUCUUCAGAGAUGGUCCCUGAGUGCAUUUUGUGUGAUAUAUUUCUGUGAAAGUGGAGACUGUGCAGGGAAGGAAGGUGGGACACUUCCCCUGGUUCACUGGAAGACCACUAGAGCUCAGCUCAGGAGCACGGACCCCCACGGGCCUCCCCUGGCACCACUACAGGGCUACCUUGGAAGACUCCUAGGACAUCCUUUUUUUGCAGACAGUUGUCCCUCAGUGGGACCUUAGCCUGAGGGCUUUCCUGAGUUUCCCCUGGCCUCUGUUCGGGUGGAUCUCAGAGAGGAUCCAGCUUCCUCCCCAGAGUGGACCACGCUGAUCUCUGAGGUGGGGAGUAGCCCGUGCUCUUGUAGAGACAGGUGCUGCCUGAGUGGCCUGUCUCCCUCCACUCCACACCUAGAGGAAGGAGUUAUGGAGCAGUGGGGCUGAGAAUUCCUAGUCUAAACAACCCGGGGAAAUGUGCUCAGGGAGGGAGCCACGCCAGAGCCACAGAUGGCUUGAUCCGGAUGGAUCAUGGAUCGUAAGGGGGAGGGGGGUGGCUUUGAACAGUGGAUGUUGUGUGGCAGUUGCUGUUCAAGCAGACAGAUUGGUGAAUUCCAGGCUGCGGGGAUCUGAGCGGUCCCUUCUUUAUCUUCUCUUACCCUCAGGCUCAGGAAGUGGGUGCUAUGGGCAGGAGAUGGGCAGUGGCCUGGGGGCUCCCAGGCCAAGCACCCAUCGCAGGCCAGCCAAGUCACCAUCCACAAUACCAUGUGGGCCCCUCCUCGGCCUGCCUGAUAGGAAGGGUCGGUCCCUUUGGGGCUCCUCAGGAGACCUUGUGGAGCAGAGGCCGCUUCUCUCUCAGGAGCCCUAGCAGGUCCAAGAGCCCUGAGAAGGAACUAGGGAUGUUUUCUGUUUCCGGGUCCCUCAGGGGCCCAGGGGCAGAUUGAGACAGGCUCCUUGCAGGGAAGGUGUUAACAAACAGCAGGUGAUUAAACAUGACAAGCGGUGACAUUUCUGUUCAGGGUUCUCAGUCCCGGCAAAGCCAAGAAUGAAGCUAUAAACCCUGACAUUUUGUGUUAUGCACUGAGAGAUUUUUAAUAGACCUCGUUCCCUCUUCCCCAGUCAGCCUCUCCCUCCUUCAGCUCCUUCACUGUGCCCACUGCUCCAGUAGCACCCUGCCACCCUGUCCACCUGGCCUCCAGGGCCCUUUCUGCCUCCCCACCCCCCAUUUUCUUCCCUCAUCCUCAGACCCCUUUGCACCUGCAGGGCCUGGUGGACACUGCCCUCUGCCCCCUCCUUUUCUUCCAUCCGUCCUGUGGCCCCUUCUGUCUCCCCCUCGCCUCCCCUCCUCUCAUCCUUCAUUCUCUCACCUCCUUUUUUUGGGUCCUGAUCUCAGCCUCUCCCUUAGCUGCGGCUGUCCCAGUUGUCUGGGACAGCAGGUGGCUAUCCUUGUGCCCUCUUUGUGCUCAUAAGAUUUCCAGACAGACUUAAGAGCGGGUGUAGGGAGACUAUGGGGCUUGGUGUGGGAUUUUCCCCCAUCUUUUUUUCAAUCCCCUUUUCUCCUUUUUGGGACAAGGAAGGAGGUGGGGGGAAAGAAUUACACUUCAUAGCAAACAGUUGCUGGAUUUAUUCGGAAAGGGACUGGCAGCAACAGUUGUCCCUCUCACAGAGCAAUGUCAGAACAACUGGGGCCUCCUUUGUUUUCUGGGAAGAGCCCUGUGAAGGGCGUUUGGAGGUGAGCCUGGGGCUCAAGAGGGCAAGAAACCUAUGGGGGUGGUUUCAGCUCUGUUGCACCCAGGUGCCUCCAUCCUGGCAGAUAGAAAAGGAUCCUAGAGGUCUGAGGGUUUUGGUGAAGUCAGGCCACACCCUGGGUCUCCUCUCUGCCUAGUGAACUUGAGAAGCACUUAGUUUUCUGUAUUCAUUCAGUAAAUAUUUACUGGGCCAGACGCUGUGCUGAGCAGUGGUCCGCCCCACAGCUCCAGCAGCCAGCAGCGUAGCAAGGUAGAGGGGUGAUGAGGCGGGUCACCGCAGACCUACAGCAAGAAGACGGAGGGGUGAUCCAGAGGGCUUCUCAGUGGAAGUGACAUUACAGCUGGGACCCCUGAAGGAUGCAUGGUAGAUGGGUAGCCAGUCUGCCCAGAGCUGAGUGGCAGUGUGCUGAGGUCUGGGGGUUUCUGCUGCUCCUCAAGUGCCACCUGGCAUGGAGUCAGUCUGGGCUGUGCCACCCCACAGUGGGUGUGCCCUUUGAUCUCUGUAUAACUGACUCCGAAUUUGCUAUUCCAUCCACCUUCCACCAGACAUGUGGGUGGGUAAAAUGGGAAUGAGGCUCAGCCCUGCCUUCAUGGAAGGAAAGUACCCAUGACAGGGGCUGCCGCCUGUUGUACCUCCUAGUCCCCUUGCUGAUGACUCACAGGGUAUAGGCCUGUGUGGAGGGCAUGGGGGAGGAGCAGGAGCCAGGAGACCUGCCCUCCUCACCCCUCACUGAUGCCCUCACCUCACUUCCCUCUCUGCUCGCAGUGGUAUGUGAGACACUGCUGCUGAGUAUCGUUCUUUUUAGACUCUGGGCUCCUUGAGACACAGGGCCAGAGGAGGCAGUUCUACUAGGUACUCAGGAUGUAGUGGAGAACCUCCACCAAGCCAGGAGAAGGAUUGAGUUAACCUAUGAAAGCAGGACCAUGAGGACUGUGGGCCUGCAACCGACCCAUGGGCCUCUAGUGGCCAGGAAGAAAGGCCAGAGGCCCACAUUCAGUUCAUCAUCCAUUCUGAACUGGCCUCACACCCAGCACCAUUCAGCCACAGAGCAGCUGGAGGGGUCUCAAUGAGCCUUUAGAACCUCUCCCCCAUCUUGCUCAGCCUUUGCCCAGGGGUUCAGGCCCAGCAUACCCUACCUCCACACUGGCUCCCCGAGGAGGACCAGUUUGGCUGCUGGACCCAGGAGUAGCAUAAAGGGGCCAGCAUAGAUUUCAGCCAUGAUUCCUCCUCAUCCCAAUUCCAGCCCCUACCUUUCUACCCUUUUGGCCUGAGUUAAUGCCAAUGCCAUCCCUUGUCACCCACUUCCCAAAGACUAGCUGGACCUCCUGUAGGGCUGAGAGACUCAGCCUUCCUCCACUCACUUGGAAGCUGGGCUGGGGGUGGGUGUAAAGGGAGGAGAAGGGAGUCCCAGAGCCAGGACUUGGCCUGCUGCCCCUGUAGAUCCAGAGCCAGGUUUUACUGUAAUCCCUACAUCCUGUUGCAGAUCCUUAAUCAGCUGGAGCCCAGGUUGGGCUGGACCCUGUGGUGACACUCAGGGCUGUAGUGUGGAAAACCUGAAGUGGAGCUUCUAGAGUUGGGGUUGGCUGUGAGGUUGAGGCUGGUGGAGGGGAGCAGAAGGGAGCCAGUUCGGGCACAGGAUGUGGACAGAGCCCAGACCCACCACCUACCCAGCCUGGACUGGGUGGAGGAGCAGCUGUUACAGACUGGGAGCCAGGCUACAGUGGGGCAUGUGGGGCCCCCGAAAGGACACCAGAGUCUGUAGGGACUGCUGCACUGCUUCAUCACUCCAUCGAGACAGCUGACGUGAGAGUUGCUCAGACAGUGGCUCCAGCCAGAAACCUGGGUGACGGUGGUUCCAGGGUUUAUACCCACAGGUACUUCAAGUCCUCAUCAGGCUACAAGUACCUAUCCUGCUGGAGCCCUGCUUCCUGAGUAGGGGUGGGGAAGAGGGCCCAAGAGACCUAUCCUGGGUUUGGGCAGCCAGGGCUUGAGGCUCUCUCCAGGAGGCAGGGGUCCCUUAGCAGGGAAGGGAGACCCCAGGAUCACUCUUCCUUUUGCCACAAGCAACUGACCCCGGACAAGAGCUCCAUAUCCCAUCUGACCCCUUAGUUCAGCCCAACUCUGUAGUCCCUGCGUGAAUCUUAGGAAAGAGUUAGGGGACAGAGGGAGAAGACCCCACCUGGACCCCAACUCCUCUCAGCCCAAGAUGCAGUGGUGGAGGAGAAUGAGGGAGAAUGCAUAGUCCAGAGAGCCAGCACAGAAGCCAGGAGUGGGCUGGCUGGCAGCGGGUGGGCAGACGGGCGUCUGUCCUGCCAGGGGCCCAGGCUGGCUCUGCAGACAGCCUCUUUUCUAUAUGGAAAUGAAGAAUUUAGGCUAAUGGAGCUCAACCAUCUCUAAUUUUGCGAUGGCAGGAGGAUUUUGAUUGAAAGUAAUUAAGCAAGCUAGCUGUAAAAUUAAUUAAAGCAAAAGGGGGGGAUUUUUUAUUGGAUUGGAUAGCGAUAUAGCGUCUGUCAGGCGGGGGACGGAUGGGGGUGACCUGAAUCCUCUGCCCUCCCCCCUCCCACUCGGGACGUUUAUGUCACUUUAAUCUCCUUACAGCGGCUGCUGUGCAUUUGUUUGAAAUAAUCAAGGAAAUAUGGUCAGAAAUUGUCAGCUUUCAGAUCUAAUUUACCUGACGGCCCCUGCGCGAGCUGGCGCGGCCUGGGGAGUGAGCGUGCGUGAGCGGGUGGGGGAGCUGAGUGGGCUCUGAGCACGCUGGAGCCGCAGCCCAUGACCAGCCCGGGCUCCCUCCAAAGGGGCAGGAAGGUGCUGCCCAGCCUGUCGGCACCUCCCUGGGCUUUGCCCCUUUCUGGAACAGACUCCCACCCCCACCCACCUGCUGCCUCUUCCUCACACUGUAACCAGCUUUAGGGUUUAGGGAAUAUAGGAUUAGGGAGGUGAUUGUAAUUCCUUAUUCCAGAUGGCUGACAACUGCUAAACCCCUCCACCAGGGCCACAGUUUUAAAAAUACUCCUAAAUUAGUCCCCUCAUGUCCUCAUCAUUGGCCUCAGCAAGGGGAUUGAGGAGAUGGGCUGGAGGGAGGGCGGGGUGACCUGUCAUCCCCAGGUCCUCUGCCACAUGCUGCACCACCCCCCCACACCUGGGGCUGUGCUUACUGCCUGGGCCUCUCUGCCCCAGGUCCUUCCCCGACUUCUAGGGUAAUGCUUGCCCUGUUUCCUCUUUGUAGCACACUCAUGAAAUCUGGGGUCUCAGUUCCUGCAAGAAGAAGGCCACUUCCCAGUGCCACAAGGUCCUACCCAUUUCCAGUGGAUAAACCAGGCCACAGAGCCGCUUUCCUUGGGGUAUCUGACUUCCAGUCCCUGCACCCCAGAAGUUCUGGUUCAGAGCUCUUGGAGUCCCUGCCCAGGUGGGCCAGUAUGCAGCCCUCCCCAGCAGGGAACCCUUGAGAUGUCUGGGGUCCAAGGGCCCUGGAGCAGUCUCUGAGGCUAUGAAAAAUUCCGGCUUAAAUGGAAAUGUGUAGCAGUCUGAUCUGCUGGGCGUGAGAGGCCUCCCAGUGAGAAUUGGGUCCCUGAAUCUGUCUAAUGCUGACCAGUGAGUGACCCCAGCCUUCACCAGACCUGUCCAUCACCCUUCCAGUUCUGAAGUUCUGUAUAGGUCUAGGACAGCCUCUGCCCUGGUAGCUGUUCCCUUAUACAGUCAGUUCAUGGGACCUGAGGGCAGGCUGCCUUUGGGGCUUGCACACACCCCUGGGACAGGGGAGAAGGCUGGGGAUUGAUGAUGGUAAGCAGCCAGCUUCCCAUUUGCCCACUGGAGAGCAUACCCACUAGAGGCCUCCAUCCCCACCUGCCCUCCUCGGUACCACCCAAACACCCUCUGCCUUGUCCUCCACUUUUGCCCUUGAGGGAAUCCCCCCCCCCCGUCCCCAGCCCACUGUGGGACAGGGUGACUCAGGCUGCCUCCUCCGGCAGCAGUGAGGGAGUGUGAGCUCCUGUCUGUCCUUCCAGCCUCACCCUCAGCACAGCAGCUGGAGGCAGGGGAAGCAACACCUGCCUGCUCCUUGGGCUCUUUCAUCCGCAACCUCCUCUCUCCCUAACCAUGAGUCACUCACUGUUGGGGUUAGGGGAUGCAGCCCCAGAGAACUCUACCCAAAAAAGAGGGAGGAAAAGCUACCUCAGGGGAUAGUUGCAUGUACCCCAAGGCCAGGGGGCACUGAGGUCUGUGGGGCCCUGCUGUACUCCCCUGCUCCCUGUGCCCACAAGUGCCUAGGCCAUAGGCAGCAGCAUGAGGACCAUAGGGACUCAGCCAGAGACACUGCCUUUUGUUCCCAUUAACUACCCAGGACCCAGAUCCCAGGAGACAGGAGAUUAGAGGGAGUGGUUUCAGCUCAGCCUCUCACCUCCAUGUGUGGCUCACAGCUGCUUUACCUGUGCUGCUGGGACAUAGAGGGACCAGCUGGGGGCCUGCACCAGGGCAAGGAGCUUAUUUCUGGCUUGCUCUGGUAGGUGCUGAGGUAGAGGGAGACUCCUGCAGAAGGGACCCCAAAGCAGGCUUUGGCAUGGGGGAGAGGGGGAAGCCCAAGGGGAGAAGGGGCCUCCUCAUGUCCUCCUAGUGUCCCCAAGACCACCCUCUGCCCCAGAGAGAAGAGCAUGAGUUGGAAAUGCUCUACUGAAAUCCACUUCUUGGAAUCAGCCCCCAUGGUGAGGAGAGAAACUGAUUCUGCAGUGGCUCCUUGGAGAGGAGCAACAGGGAUGGCAGUGACAGACAGAACUGGCCACCGGCCCUCGGGUGUGAGUCAGAGGACAGCCCUGGGAGGGCACAUGGGAGCCUAGGAGGCUGGGAGAGGGGAGAAGUAAGAGGGUAACUUGGGGGCCUGGGGAUCAAAGGCUAGCUCAGCAGUGCCUUUCUGUCCUCUGGCUGGCAUGAGAUGGUUCCUACCCCUGAGAUAACAUGUGGUGGCCUCCCUGUUGUCCCUUGUUCCUUAGCUCCUAAGCCUUUGAGGAAAAAACAUACUGGCCUCCCUUUCCCAGGACCUGUCCCUGGCCGACAUGUCUCUGCCUUCCCCCAGAGCCAGGGUUCUGGGCCUCUGGAGCGGAACGUGGGGGGAGAAAAGGCAAGGCCAAGGACAACCUGCCUGGCCCUGCCAACCCCCAGGCCCUGCCAACCCCCAGGCCCAGCUCCCUGAAAAGCUUGAGGACUGGGGACUUCCCCUGGCGGAGGGGGCGGGGGGCAGUCCAUCUGGCCUGGCUAGGGGUUCUUUCUCCCUUUAGGUGGGCCUGAGGGUUGGCUGGUCUCCCUCUCUCAGGUCAGGGGAAGGCAGGCCUUCCUGAGUCCUCAUUCAUACUUAACGAGGACCAGUGGCUUCAGGAGAGUUCUCAGUGUGCCCUGGCCACAGGGGCUAGGGGUAGGGGAGGCACCUGCCCCACUGGAGGAGGAACCCAGAGUAGCAGGUGUCCAGCCUCAAGAGUCAACUGCAGGGUCUUCUAAUGACAGUGUGAACAGAGAGAACAUCUGAUAUAGCUGGGGACCUGACUCCUCCUUCAGCCAGGUCCGUGCCCAGAGUUGGCAUGAUGUGACUGAGGCCCUGGGCUCCCGGAAGUGCCUGUGACCAGGCCGGGCUUGGCAGUCACUCUUCAGUCUCGUGAAGCCUCCCCACCAAGUCUGGUGGAUUCCCUGCUCUGUAGACUUCUCCCCUGCCCACACUGGGCCCACCUGCCACCCCAGACCCCUCAUCGCUUCCUUCCAGUCUGGCCUCUGUUUCUCGCCUUUUGGGUCUCAAGUCUCACUGCCCCAACCAUGGCCCGUCCUCCGUCCCCCCUGGCUUCACAGUCACAUUUUGCUGCCAGCGCAGGGCACUGAAAAACUGCUGGCACUGCCAAAAACCCUGUGUGCGCUAUGACUCCCCAAACAUCCCUUUAUUUUUAUUGUUCUGUUAAUUACUGUUUAAACUUUAAUAAGUCACUUCGUCAGGAGGGGGGACCUGCCGUGAGCUUUUCUGUGCAAACACGGGCCGGGAGUGACUCGGGUGUAAUAUAACCCUUUAUGCGAUGUGGGAAUGUUUAGAUUGUAACAGAAACUUGUUAUUUUAAUGACAGUUGGGGGGAUCUGAGCGUGGUAAGGGAGGAGGGGUGGCGUUCCCUGUCAACCCCUCGGAGGGCUUGGGGUGGCCUGGCCCUGCCAGGGUUGCCCUCUGCCACGGCAGAGGGCCCAGCUAGCUGUGCACCCUCCUGGGCUGCCCACUCAGCCCCCUGGGCAGACUUGUGUAGAGCGGUGCCUUCCGAGGGAGGCCCAGGGCCUGGGGCAGGAGAGCCUGGGCUGGGCAGCUUGGGUGGGUGAGGGCCUGAGGAGAAAGUUGGGCUUUCAGGGAUGAGGAAGCAGGAGGCCCCGGGCAGUUCUCUAGUCCCUGGGCAGAAGCAGGCAGGGUUGCGAGAGGCUGGACUCCACACCUAGCCAUUCCUGACUCUGCCCAAGAGUCAGUGGAAGGUGCCCUGUGCUCUGCAGCUCUGUGCCAGACCUGUCACUCACAGCAUCCCUUUGACAUACUGUUGCAGAUGGGACACUGAGGUCCAGUGCAGAGAAACUUGGUUAAAGUGGCAAGCUUUAAGAGGAUGGCAAAUCUCAGGUAUUGAUUUGUUUUAUUUGGAAGCCACCAAAGCCCAGGUGCCCCAGUGUGGUCUCGGGCUGGACACUAUCCCACAGUGGAAGGGCAUGGAGGGGCACAAGUCCUUGUCAGCCAUGGAGGGGCUUGGGCAAGGCUCACCCUCCAUUCUCCCCUCACUCCCACCAGGAGGAGGAACUGGAAGAUGAGGUGGGGUGCCCUGGUCACCAUCUGCACUCUUUCCCUCUCCCAGGAAGCAGGAGCUCGGCCCAGGGCAGGGCAAUGGCAGCAGAUACCCUGAUUCUCCUCCCAGCAGUCCAGACCUGCUUCCAGCAGACACCUGGAAGGGACCCCUUGCCCCCAGUGUUCGUGAGGCUUCUACCAGGACCUCAGGUCACCUCAGGGUCUGUUUUCCUGCUUUGUCUUCAUUUGGUCUGUCUGUCCUGUGUAGCCAAGCCUCUGCUGUAUUCCAGACACUGGAGUGAUAUAAAAGAAGGAGCCCUGUGCUCACCCUGAGGGCCUGUGACCUGCUGCUGUUAAUAAAGAGAUUUCAGGGGUCUUGGGGAAGGGCAAAAUCGAGGGGCCCCGCCUCUGUCCAAGGCCUGCCCCGUCCAGUCUAGCCAUAGAGAAAGACCCUUGCACUCUGGGCUCUCCUGCACCUUUCUACUGCCUCCCACUGAGGGCACCACAUGGAAGCUGGCCCUGCCCUGUCCCCCACCUCCUGCUGGGCGGGGCCAGAGGUUCAGGGCCUUGUGCCCUGGGUCUGGAGGGGAGCCCCCAGAUGGUGGUGGCAGCUCGGGCCACGAAUCGCUGAGGUUUUCCUUUUCUGAGCAGUGCGUUUCCCUAAAUUGUCUUUGACUGCGUGCAUGGGUAAUGAAAGUUUAUGCCCUUGUUAGAAGGACAGGCGGCCAGUUCCAGUUAGAACUGGGGCUGUCUCCCUGCCAGGCCGGCAGCCCCCUCCCCAGCAGGAAAGAGCAGGAGGGCAGGGUGUAUGUGUGUGUGUGCGCGCGCACGCACACACACACACAGACACACGCACGCGCGCUUGCGCUCGCACACACUUGCAUACCCCUCCCCAGUGAAUAAGAAGCCUGUUAAGGGAAGGGAAGGGAGAGAGGACGGAAAAAAAGAAAAAAAUUUCCAUAUUUGUGUAAGUUGCUUUAAAAGCAUUUUAUCAUGUCAUAAAAAAGGGAAAGUACUCUCAGAAAUUGAUCCUCUCCGCCAGCCCAUUGGACAGAAGGACGUUGGGAUGUUAAUGGCCAUCCUGCUCCAGGGUGGCUUAUUAAAAAAUUUAUACAUAAAUGCUUAAAAUUGCAUAAAUUAUUUAAAAAAAACCAACAAAGUAAGCAAUUUGAAUUCCCUCUUUUCCUCCCCUUCACUCCGUCCCCCCUUUUCCAGCCUCUCCUCAGGGCUCUCCUGGUCCCCGGGCUCUGGUCCCCUCCUUGGGGCAGUCCCCCUCUUUUCUCCACUUCCUGCUGCGCCCCUGACGCCCGCCGUCUGCCCUGCCCUCCUCCGGGGUUUCCCUGCCUCACCCACAAAUUAAUGAAACAGCCAGCCCACCACCAAACGCUCACACGCACACGCGCUAAUAAAAACACCACUAAUAAUGCCCCAAAUCGCAAAAUUAAAUAUUAAGGCCAAAGGAGGCGGACGUGGAGCGGAGCUGCCGCCACCGUUGCCGAAGUUGGAGCUGAUGAGUGUGUCUCUCGCAGGCGUGGAAUGUCACCCACACAUCCUGGAGACUGGAGUGGGGAGUUUUAUGAUGGUUUUUCAUUGAUUUGUUUCCCCAGCGCAGCUGCCGACCUCUAUUGAGGGACAAACAUAAUCAGCACUGACGCAAAUUAGAUGGUUAUUCGUUUUGAAAAUUGACAGAAAAACAAUAAAAAAGAUGAAAUGCUCCCAAAUCAAUAGAUAUAAUGAAAUUCAAAUAAUCCGAGAGAUGAGGUCUCCAUGGCAACUGAUAAUGUGGAAAAGAAAACAAUUUAAUAAAGGACAGACACACUUUGAAAACAGAUUGGGCCCGGGGAGGGGGGCGGGCUGGCGGGCGGAGGGCUGGAGCGCGGGCUGGCGAGUGAAGGAUCACUGUCCGUCCCAAGGACACCCGCCAUAAUUAAGCGAGGCUUUCGGCCCCAGAAAGUGCAGAUUCAGGUUUUAAUACACAAAAUUAUUUCAGGAGCAGUGAAUCGGAAAGUCGUUUGUAAUGACCUUCCUGAGAGGCCCGGGCGCGGGGCAUGUUGGAGGCUGGGCGGCCCGGCCGGCUGAGUUAUGGCAUAUUUGUGUUUUUAUAGUGCGGAGGGGAGGGGGUGGUGGGGGGAGGGGGGGAGAAGGUUAAACAGUAUUUACAGCUCAGUUGUUUUCAGAGAGGAAAGAGAAAUAGAGUUCAUGGGGAGAUGCAGUGGGCAGGCAGGGGGGUGAGCCAGGGAGGCCUCUGGGCAGCAGGGAGGGGAGGUAGACCUGAGCAGGUCUCCCACCUCAGGCUGCCUCACCUACGUCCGCCUCAGGUCCAGAGGAGAUGCCAGGUCCGCUUCCCCUGCUCCAGUGCCUGGUGAGGCUCAGGCAGUGCGGUCUUCUAGGUCUGGGGCCUCUCUGACGGGGUGGGAGCCGAAGUCCAAGCCGUGUGGACACCCAGCUGCACCUAUCAGUAAAAAGGUGGGGCAUUUCCACAGCUGCCACGAAAAGUGGCUCUGCCCUUCAUCCUCGCCCGCACCCUCCAUUUCUCUAUGUGGCAGUCGGUCAUCCAUCCAGAUGGUGCUGCCCUUCAGGGUGCAAUAGUUGAGGGCCGGACGAGCAUGUAAGGACGGCAUGCCCCACUGCAGUGGCCUGCAGCUCCCUGCCUUCUCUUCUUUGGUUCCCCCUUCAUGCCAAGUGCCCACCUUGGACAUGCAGAAGUGGGGUUCCGUGGGGCAGGUGGAGGCAGAGGCCACAGAGGGGGCAGGGGAUCAAGCAUCCCUGCCCCAGCCCUGCAGAGCCCCUAGCCUGCAGCAGGCAGCUCAGGCACUGGUGGCCAGGCCAUGGGAGCCUUGAGACUCCCCCUCAGGCUCCGUGUCCCCUCCAACCCCUGCUGUGGGAGUGCAAUUGUGUUUCAACACUGUGACCACACAGAGACUUUCUAGUUUGUGGGCUGCUGUAGAUGGGCACGUGUGAACACGAUUGUACAGAGAUCCCUGAGUGUGUGUGCACACAGGCAUACACACCGUCUGUGUGCUUUUGCUCGGUGUGUGUAUGUUUUAAAUCUCCCCUGGGUGGUAACUCUCUUUUUUCUCCUCUUCCUGUUUGGCUGUGACCUGGGGGAGAUUGAUAGCCAGCCUGUGUGGUGGAUGCUAACAGUUCCCCUGAUUUAUAGAGUUACUUACGCUAAGUGAGGCCACUUAGACGCGUCUGGAUAGUAAACCUUUUAACUGGACUAAAAAAUCAUAAUAAAUAAAUAAACAAAGGGGGGUAAGCUAGGGCCCAGUGGCCAAGCCCUGCCCACUCCCCAGCUUAGAGCCCUUGAGGACCAGGGACCUGCCUGAGAACCCCAGGGGAGCAGUGGCCAUUCCUCCCUUCAGAAAAAACUCAGAGGCCCUUCUGUUCUGAGCUGGAGAUGGGAUCAGGAAGGACCCCCUCUCCCAGGGGGCCUCUCAGGGACAGGUCUUGGUAGGAAAUGAGGGAAGGGAACUGCUCAGCUGGAGAUGGGCUCUGAGGGAGAAAGCAUGGGCCUAGCAACCUUCCCUUCUGCUCUUGUGGCACCAGUGCUCCAUGUCAGGGAGAUGGUCUGGUAGUGACUUUUGAAUAUUGUUGCCUUGUCUGAACUGCAUAGUCCCUGAUGUAGGAACCAGGGUGACGUAGGACCCAGGACUGCCUGUCUUGCUCACAUCGUAGCCUCAGAAUUCAGCCCGAGCCUGGAUGGAAGUAGGUGCCCCAUGCGUGCCACUGAAUGGGGGCUUGUGGUCUGUGAGGUUCCAAUCCUCAAGUGCAGCAGGAUGGGAGCUCCCCUAGGCACCCUGAGACUCCAGGAUGGCCACUUGGAAGACCUGGAAGGCACCUUGGAAAUCUGAACUUGGUGGGAGCUGGCUCCAGCACUGACGGGACAGUUGCCAACCUCAUUACCUCUGCUGCCUCACCUGGAAAUGGGGACAGGACAACUGGCCUGCAGGGAUGCUGGGGGAUCACCAAGGUGACUAAGUGCCCAGCAUACUUUCUGGCACAGACAAGGUGCUCAGGAGGCACCAGGUGCCAUGUGCCUGUAGAUGCCAUGGGCUAGCUCAGCCACCGGUGUCCGGACAGUGUCUGUGGCCCCCAGAGCUGCCUGGCAGUAGGCAGGCAGAGCCAGGUGCACCCCCACCCCAGGGGACUGGCUCCUGGCCUCUGCCUCCCUUCCUCCUGAUAUACAGCGGGCAUUAGGCCGCCCAAAGGGGAUCCUGCAUCCUUAGGAAGAAAUAUGUCCUCAUUUUUCUUAAACACCGUUUCCACUGAGUGAAAUGUUUAGAAGGGACGCGCAGGGAGAACUUUAUUUCCUACCAGGGAGUUCAGAGCCACCAAGCAGAGCCCAUAAAGCACCCGGAGCCUGGUAGCUGACAGGCAGCCCAGCCCUGAAAUACAUUACUCACGGUGGGGAGGGGCUGCCAGGCCUGCCCAGACCCCUGGGACUGCCCCUGCCCUGGCAAGACAAGCAACUUCAAGACCCAGGGCCAUGGGCAGUGGGCACCAUGCCUCUUCUUCCCUUGAGCCCAGAUUGCCUGCAGGAGAGGGCCUGGCCUGACCAGGUGCCGAAGGAGUAGUUCUUCCAGCUUCCCACAGGCCUUUACCUCCCAGGUCAGGAAGACGUGGGGACAAGGGGCCCAGGUGCAGCUACAGGCACCCCCCUUUCUCACCCAGAACUGGCAGGAGCCCUGGCCUUCCCUAGCCUGUGCAGGGAGUGAUGAGAUUCAUGCCAUAACGGGUCCCUUCUCCCAAGGCCCUCCCUUCAUUCGAUUUCUGAAGCUGGCUGAUUUGAAUAUUUAUAAAUAUCAGUAAAUUAUUUAUUGUAGCAAUCUGCUGCACCAUUUUACCCAUCGCAGUUAACACUUUAGGGGGCUCUGUGUUAUGGGAACAGGAAGUGGGGGUGUGGAGGAGAUGGGGCAAGGGAGGGAAGGAGCCCCUGCAGGGAGGCUUGGGACUUCCCAGAGCUUGCCUCGGAGCCUUCAUGGGGAUGAGGCUGAGCCUCAGCUCCAGGUAUCUACAGCCAGGAUUAGCUUCCUCCUCUGUCAAAUGGGUUGGCACAGGGCUCAACUGGAUCAUUUUUGAAGCUUUGGUGAGAUUGUGAUGGACAGUCAGUUUUUGCUUCUCUCUCCUGCACCUUAGUUGGGUCUGCUCAGCUCAGAGACUGAUGGGUAGUGCUUGUUGAGUUUGGAGGCCUGUAGGAAAGCCGAGGGGGCCAUUUGCUGGCGCAAGGGAGAGGGCUGCAAGGAUGGCCCCAGGCCUCCUGCCUCUCCUUUCCCUCUUCCCUCUUCUGGGCCAGGUGAGAAUUCCUUGUCUUGGAAUCUUGGGCCAGACAUGGCACCACAUCUGCCUGUCAUUCUCCUCCUGGGCUCAGCUGUCUUUUCCCAGGUCCUUCCUUGCCAGGCCCUGUGCUUGGCCCAAGGAGGCGCCUUCUCACCUUGUAGCCCGGCAGCCCUUCUGUGAGAGAGAGCUUGCCAGGGCCGGUAGCUCCCAGGGGUAGAGCCAGGCUAUAUGCUCCUGACUCUGACCCAGGGGCCAGACUGUAACCUGCUGUGCCUUCUGGGGUUCAGAGCCACUGGGGCCAGGAGCAGAGUUGGUGCUUUGCUGGGCCCACCUCAGCUGCCCCUCCUGCCUGCCCCCCAGUCUGCUGGUCCCUGGGGGAGCAGAACAGGAGUCCUCUUGCCUUCCCACCCUCCUGCCCAAGCCUGCCUCCUGGGCAGUAUUGUUCCCAGAGGAAGUGUCCAGUGUAAAUAGAGCAGCGGGCAGGCUGGUGGCGGGAAGGAGAUGAAAGGGGCAGUGACAGGGCCGGGGACUGAUGGCUUCCUUCCAUUGAGGCCUGGCCACGCCGUUUAUAUUUUAGGGAAGAAAGUCAGGGGAAUGUUUACAUGGACAGGAGUCUGGGGUCAGACCAUGGGGGUGGGUAGUCUGGAGGUCCCAGGGCCUUUGAUGGAGGGGCCAGCAGCAAGGCCCCACGGGGUGGGCCGGAAGGCACAGUUCAUACAUGCCCUCCUCCUGCCAUCCCGGCCUUGCACACAUUGGCACUGACAACCAUCAGCCCUGCCUCUGCCUCUUGCCCGUGUCCCGGGCCCAGGUGCCGUCUCCACCUCCACCCUUGGGACCAAAGUAGAGUCAGAGGGAGGGCAACAUCUGGAAUGCAGGUGGGCUGGGUCAGAACAGCAGCUGGAGGGCAGGUGUAGAGGGAGUCAGCAGGAGCAAAGGGGCCUGGGGGCUGGAGGUGGGCCCGGUGCACAGCUGCAUCACAGCUGGUGGGGGCCCAGGCUGGGACUGAAGGGGCACAUGGCUGAGAUCGGGAGAAGGUGGGCUGGGUUGGGUGAGCCGAAGUUCAGGGAGGCUCCAGGAUGGGUGGGAGCCCUGGGAGGGGGUGUCACUAGCAGCAAGUGCAGCCUUGGGAGCUUCUGCUUCCCUCUUCCUUGGGAUAAAUAUUUAUAGAUUCAUUUGCCGUCUGCCAUACACACUUGGCUGCUUACCUCUUGGUAAAAAUAGAGCAGGCUCCUCACUCCCGCUCUUUUCUUCCCCGUCCAGGGCAAGGGACAAGGAGGACCAGGUGAGGCUGCUCCCCCUGAGGCUGUUGGAGGAAAUGUGGUGUCACAGACCCUGCUGGCCUGCCGAGCAGUUGAACUGGGUGGGGUUGUGAUUAGGGGCCCUGAAGCUGAACUUUGAGAGGAACCUCAUGUGCAUACAUAGGGAUUUGGGUGCAAGCGGCACAGACUUGGAGCUGUGGACAAACAUGAGUUUGUGGGCAUCUGGCUUGGCCAGGGUCCAAGACCCUGGAGCCAGAGCCACAGGACUGGGAACUGGCUGAGCAGACCUUUCUCUGACAGUCCCCAAGCAAGGCCACACAUUCAGCAGCUGGUGAUAAGGCAGGAUCUGCAGCCACAGGGCAUGUAUAUAUCAAGGGACUAUUAUUUGUGCAUAAAAAUCAGGUCGACCUGUGGGAUGAGGCCCUUGGGCAGACACAGGUGUGGCUUCUUUGUGGGCUCUCCAGGAUGUGGAUUUCAUGGUGGGCUUUUGUUUUGUUUUGGUACCAGGGAUUAAACCCAGGAGCACUUAACCACUGAGCCACAUCCCUAGCUCCUUUUUAUAUUUUAUUUAGAGAUAGGGUCUCACUGAGUUGCUUGGGACCUUGCUAAAGUUGCUGGUUUUGAACUUGCAAUCCUCUUGCCUCAGCCUCCCAAGCUGCCGGGAUUUCAGGCACGCACCACCACUCCUGGCUCAUGGUGUUUGAUCCAUGGAGCUAAGGCACAAAGCCCUCCUGCCCCCCAGCCUUCAGACCUAUAUGAGACAUGCCCAUUUCCCUGGCUAAGGCCUGGGGAAGCACUCUUUGACAGGGACCUCCCUAUGCACAAAUUGAGUAUGAACUGAGACGGUCACAUGGCCACUCCCCUGAUCCACCAUGGGGUGUGGCACACGGCAGUACACUAGAUGGAUGGAUGGCUAGACAGAUGUGUGGCAUCAUUCGUGCAUAUAUCCAGCCUUGUAGGCCUUCCUGGCCACCUGCCCUCAGGACCCUCUGUCCCCUGACAAGGUUUGGUUUCUAGCUGCCUAUGUGCUGUGACGUCGGGAAUCAGAAAUUAAGCCCUUUAGCUGCAGUUUCUGGGCUUUCCAUGAGGGACCUAAGCAAUCCAAGCCUGUCCCAGCUGGGGCUCCUAGGCUAGGAAGUGCACUUCUCAGCUCCGGCCAGACCUUCCCAGGAUGUAGGAGUGGGCCACAGGAAUUGGAGGAGGAGGAGUGUGGUGCUGGGAUGGAGACGUAGGAGGGGCUGCGAGGAUCUCUGUGGAACAGCAAUAGGAAAUGGCCAGAGGCCCAGUGAGGCUGGAAAGAAGGGCCAGGAAGACCCUCACAGGGCAGGUGACUGAGGAAAAACAGAGGCUUUUUUUGGGGGGGGGUCAGGGUGGAGGUGGGGGGGCGGUGGUCCUGAGUAGCUGGGAGCCAAGGAGAAGAGCUCCGCUGUCCUGAGAGCAGACGCUGGAGUUGGUGAGGCCUAAGGACUGGGCCUGGCAGAGGUGCUGCCAGGGGAUAAGAUGCUCCGGUGGGGACAGUGCCAGCCAGGGUAAAAGGUUGACACAGGCUAGAAGCUGGUUGUCAGCUGACUCCUCCCCAGGGACCUGUGGUGAGGUAGAGCCAGGCCACCAGCAGCACAGUGCUUCCCUUGCCACCUUCCCUCACCACCAGCCCCUCAUCUGCCUGUGCUUGGGGUUCUGCAUGACACAAGUCAUACCACCUCUCAGGAGCUAUUUAGGGCCAAACAAGCCUAGAAAAUGCUUCCAGGAACCAGGUGCUAGGAAGAAGACUUGUAUUUGAAGAGCCUUUCUUUCAUCCACUUUGAACCACCUACUCCGUGCCAGGCACUGUGCAGGCUCUGGGGAUGGAGCGACUGGCUAGCCCAGCCCCCGAGCUCCCAGUCCAGAGGGGAGAUGAGCAGUGCUAGGCCACCUCAGGACAGCAUGAUGGAUCUGUGAUCACCUGGGGAGACUGACUUGGGGGUGCAGGGUCGUUCAGGGGUAGCUGUGCUUGGCAUGUGGCCCCUCAUCUCUGUGUCCCUCCAUCCCUACAGCUGAAGGCACCCGGUGCACUGACCCACCUGCAGGCAAACCGGCCAUGGCGGCCAAGCGCAAAGGCGGCCUCAAGCUCAAUGCCAUCUGUGCCAAGCUGAGUCGCCAGGUGGUGGUGGAGAAGGGAGCAGAGGCUGGCUCCCAGGCGGAGGACAGCCCGCUGAGGCCCCGGGACAAAGAGCGCAGUGGCCCUGAGUCUGGGGUGGCUCGGGCCCCACGCAGCGAAGAAGACAAGAGGCGGGCGGUGAUUGAGAAGUGGGUCAACGGGGAGUACAGUGAGGAACCGGCACCUGCACCCAUGCUGGGGCGGAUCACCCGCGAGGGCCUGGAGCUGCCUCCCGAGGGUGUCUACAUGGUCCAGCCCCAGGGCUGCAGCGAUGAGGAAGACCAUGCUGAAGAGCCCUCCAAGGAUGGCAGUGUCCCAGAGAAGGACUCAGAUGGGGCAGCCUCAAAGGACAACAGUAGCCCCGGCAUCAAGCAGGCUUCAGGUGGGUGUCUGGCCUUUAAGAGGCAGGUGGAGGCUGGGAAAGGGUGCUACACUGUGGGGUGACCCAGGAAGGAAGGUCCACGUGUCCAGGUGCCCACCUGCCUCCUCUUCAUUCCUGCCCCAAGCACCAGCAUCAUGUCCAGUGAGAACUCUGGGGGUGGGGGCAGAGUAAAGGGACAGAGAAGGCAGCUUUCCAGGAGUGUGAGGGGGCAGGGGGGAUUGCCCAGCAUACAGUGGGUCCUUAAAAAACAACCGGUGGAGGGACAGAUGGACGGAUGGCCAGACACACAGAGGAAUGGACAGAUGGUGGGUGGGUGGGAAUCAAUAGGAAUGAGCCUUCUGGGGGACCAAGGUCCCUGGCCACCAGUGUGGGGAGCAGUGGUUGUGGUGGGGCAGCAACAUGAACCCCAUGAGCUGCCAGCUGCAAGCACUCUCACUCCGAGAGACUUCUCUGAGGAUCCUAGAAAAGGCUUGGUCCCCUGCCUGUGCCCCAGCAUUCUCCUUCCCUACGUCACUGCCCCUGGCCCUCCUAGGUGGGAACUCAGGCCCAUGAGGCUGGCCAGGCCCAGCCAGAAGAUCCCCUUACACCCAGCCACCCCGACAUGGUCCUCUCGCUGACCUCUUCCCAUGAGAUGGCCAAGGCCUGGCUUCUCUAGUGCCUACGUGUCCUUGGGACUUAGAGCAGUCUCCAGCUCUUUCUGCUCAGGAGAGGACCAGCCUGGGGUUUAUGGCAGGAGAGGGGCCCCCGCUAGAACUAGGUCUGGCCUUUACUCUCGCCCCAGCCUCCUCCCAGGUUGGUGCCUGGAGCUGCACGCCUCCCCUGCCUCUCCCCUGUCCCUGUCCCCCCUGCGGCGAGGGGCGCAUCUCCUCCCUGUGCGGGGAGCCCUGCACAGCCACAUAAUUAUGCAUAUAAGAUAUAAACAGAGCUGUUUAAUUAUCCUUCGCCACAUCAGUGACAGAGUAAUUAACAAACAUUGCAAGAUCAAUGAGGAAGAGUGUGACCUUCAGUUUCCUCUGAUAGGAAAAGCCCUUGCCGUUGCCAGACACAAGGUGAUUGUGCUAGGCCUGAGGAGAGGGAAGGGACAGCAGCCCUUGCUGCUGUCCCUCUGACGCUGUCUACGCUCAGCUCUGCCCACAGUGGAGGGGCUAGAGGAGGCCUCACCUCCUGAAUCCUCCCUUCCUGGAGAGAGGAGCUGGAAAGGCAGGAGGCAGGGAUCGAACUGCCCUGCGCCUCGUGGCCUGAGCUCUCCUUCCCUCAGCCCCAGGUGGCUAGGGAGCCAGUGGAGCCCCAGCUACCUUCCAUGGCCUUGGCUCCCCAGGCCAAGAAGACUUCUCUGGGCCUGGGGGUCAGGAAUGCAGGGCUCUGGAACUGCCUCUAGGACCCUGCCUGGCCCCCUCCCUGCUCCAAGUUGCCUGCCCUUCAGAGCCUUCGGUUUCCCUGCCAUAUAUAGUGAGGGUUCAGCUGCCUCCAGCUAUUUUUAGCCCCUUUCCCUGGUCCCUGAGCCACUGUAUCCAGCAGCCAGAGCCCACUCCUCCCAGGCCAGGCCCCCAACCUCUGUGGCUGGUGUUCCAGACUGUGGCUGACCCACCUGCCCUGCCAGGGGAACAGCUGUCUGAGGGUUCCUUGAGUCACUCUGCCCAGCCUGGGUGCCAGGGAGCUGCCUGUGACCCUCCCCUCCUUAGCUAGUGGGCUCCCAGUCCUCCCCAGAAGCUGAGAACCCCUCCUUCCUCAUUCUGCUGGGUUUUCUCUCCUGCCAGGCCCUGCCCGCUCUGCUCCUUUGGCCUCCCUCUGCCCCUUCCACUUGUGCUCAGAGCACCUCAGGCCUAGCAGGUUUGGGUGGGGUUGGGCGGAAUCCCCGCUGGCAUGCCUUCCUUAAGCUGUACUGUCAGGACCCACAGUCUGGGUCCUGCUACUCUGAGUGUGCCCAGGUGGGCAGGCUCAAGCUGAGUAGAGAACACUGUGUCCCCUGGACUGUGUGUCUCACUUGUCAGUAUGUGCCCAACCCUGAUGGAGGGCGCAACCUGCCGUAAGUGGAAGAAUGAGCACCCUCUCACACAUUGGAGACCACCUGUCUGCCAGGCCGAAAGGCUGUGUGUAGAAGGCACAUUAGAAGGGGCCAUGUUGGCCUAAGACUUGUCCCGGGGAGCUGGCUGUAUCUGCAGAGUUAGGAAAAGCAGCUACGAACGUGAGCUUGUGAGUCCAUGUGUGUGAGCACAUGUGUGAGUGUGGUGUGUGCAUGUGUGUGAACAUGAGCCUGCAUGUGGUGUGAACAUGGGGGAGGGAGAGUGUACGUGUCACUGUGGGGAGGUCCCUCCAGGGUUCAGUGUGCCCUAGGUGCAGACAGUGGGGAGGAUGGAUGUGCCCAGCCCAGGCCUGCUGCCCUGGGCCUACAGUGCUGGCUGCUCCCACCUGCCCUGGUCCUUGCUCUCCCAGGUGACCCACCUUGGUGUGCUCCAUGUGGUAAAUCUUGGCUGGAGGAAGGGCCCUACAUGAGUCUGUGUGGGCACGUUGGCACAGUCCCUGCCCUGCUCAGUUCUGUGGUUGGGGGGAGGCUGAGAAGCCAGGUCAUGAGGCAUCAUGGGGCAAGGCCCUCAUCAGCCAACGAGAUCCAUUUAUGGGGCUCAGGGCAGUUCACCAUGCCAGGUUCACCCCAACCCCACCCAGAGCAUCUCUCUCAGCUCCUGGGAUCUCUCCUGACUGUCCAGUCACCACCCACAUCCCUACCUGUCCCUGUGCCUGUAACUACUGCCCCCACCUCAGGAGGCAGGUUGGGAUUUGGCCUUCCAGUAAGAUGACUUCUCUUUCAUAUUAGGCCAAGGCGAGAGAGCGGAGACAUUUAUGAAACUUUGUUUAAUGUACUGAAAAGCCAUCGGCCAGAACAUUUAGGAAAUUGAUUUUCCUGGCAUUGAUGAACUCGUUUUAUUUUACCCCAGUAUUAAUUACUUUUUUUUAAAACAAAUUAAUUUAAGAGUCGUAAAACCUAACAAGUGGGCCGAAUGUCCAUAGAUCAUGUCCUGCUCUGCCCCUCCCCACACAGGCCCCUCUCUGUGGUGGGGGCUCGCAGUGGGGGGCCUCUUGGCCCUUCCUCCCCUGAUUCCUCCCAGAGGUGACCACCCCCUCCUCCUUGUAGGAGAGGCCUCCUCGCUAAGGGACUAUGCGGCCUCCACCAUGACCGAGUUCCUGGGCAUGUUUGGCUAUGAUGACCAGAACACGAGGGAUGAACUGGCCAGGAAGAUUAGCUUCGAGAAGCUGCAUGCGGGCUCCCCCCCUGAGGCGACCCCCUCUUCCAUGUUACCCACCUCUGAGGAAAGCCUCAGCAAGCGGGCACGCUUCUCCAAGUAUGAGGAGUACAUCCGCAAGCUCAAGGCCGGCGAGCAGCUCUCUUGGCCAGCCCAUGGCACCAAGGCUGAGGAGCGGGCAGGCAAGGAGAUGGUGGGCCCUCUGCCUGGCCUGCGGCUGCCCAGCAACACCACCCACCUGGAGACCAAGGCCACCAUCUUGCCCCUGCCAUCACACAGCAGUGUCCAAAUGCAGAACCUGGUGGCCCGGGCCUCCAAGUAUGAUUUUUUCAUUCAAAAACUGAAGACCAGUGAGAACCUGCGCCCUCAGAAUGGGAGUGCCUACAAGAAGCCGUCCAAGUAUGACCUGGAGAACGUCAAGUACCUGCACCUCUUCAAACCCGGGGAGGGCAGCCCCGACAUGGGCGGGGCCAUUGCCUUCAAGACAGGCAAGGUGGGGCGCCCCUCCAAGUAUGACGUCCGGGGCAUCCAGAAGCCAGGCCCCGCCAAGGUUCCGCCCACCCCCAGCCUGGCUCCUGCACCCCUCGCCAGUGUGCCCACUGCUCCCAGUGCCCCCGGGCCGGGGCCCGAGCCACCUGCCUCCCUGUCCUUCAAUACUCCCGAGUACCUGAAGUCUACCUUCUCCAAAACAGACUCCAUCACCACGGGGACCGUCUCCACUGUCAAGUAAGGCACUCCCCAUCCCACUGUACCCCAAGCCCUGAGGCAGGACACCCACUCGUACGCCCAGACCUGGGCUCAGUCGACUGUCAUGCUCAUGCUCACACACGCAGCGUGCUCACUCACUGCGUGCUCACUCCGGGGGGCCCUUCCAGCUCGUGCACGGUUCAUGGCCCUGCACCUUCACCCCUUGCUGCAGAGCCUCACAUGCUCACACAGCAGGCGCUGGUGUGCUGGUGUGCACUGCGUACCUGCUGACGUGAGUGCCAGCGAGUGCCAUAACCCCUGGUUGCCACCACUGGCUUCCUUUGCCUGCUGCCAUCAGAGCUGUGGUCGGCUGAGAAAGCCCCAUCUGGGGGUGAGGCUGCUGGGGUUUCUGCAGUGGCCCUGGUGCCUGGGUUCAGAGCCUCCUUGGAGGAGGCAGAAAGAAGAAGGCCUUUUCAGCCUUAAUUCAGGGACAGGGCACUGGCCCUGCCAGUAAUAUGGUGGGUGCCUGAGGCUGAACAAGACCCAUCCCAAAGCCCUUAUCUGCACUCCACCCUGGUAGCUGUGAACCCAGGCAGAUGCAGGCAGUGCCCCCUGACUUGAGGCUAUGUGCUGCCCUUCCUUCCCCUUUUCCUCCCUGGGAUGCCUGAUGCUUCUCAGCCCUCACCUUUUGAUUCUCCCUCUGUGCCGGGGGGGUCAGGCCCUGGCUCCAGGGACCUUCCACCCAGACAGACUCUAGGCCCUGCCUGCCUGGGGUGGCCCAGCCCUCCUUAGCUGGGCUAAUUGAACCUCUGCCAGGCUUCUGCCAAGGGACUAUCUUAGUCCUACCCGUGUGCCUCGGAACUCUCAGCCAAGGCAAGAAAGGCGAGAGCCAGGGCAGGGAGCUCCCCACCAGCUCUUGGGCCUGCGGCUGAUCGGCUGUGUCCCGUGUGUCUCACCAGGA
rnacentral:lncRNA from 1 species